AGAGUUUGAUCAUGGCUCAGAAUCAACGCUGGCGGCGUGCCUAACACAUGCAAGUCGCACGAGAAAGGGGCUUCGGCCCUGAGUACAGUGGCGCACGGGUGAGUAACACGUGAAUCAUCUACCUUCGAGUGGGGAAUAACUGGGAGAAAUCUCAGCUAAUACCGCAUAAUACCUACGGGUCAAAGCAGCAAUGCGCUUGAAGAGGAGUUCGCGGCAGAUUAGUUAGUUGGCGGGGUAAUGGCCCACCAAGACGAUGAUCUGUAUCCGGCCUGAGAGGGCGCACGGACACACUGGAAACUGAAACACGGUCCAGACUCCUACGGGAGGCAGCAGUGGGGGAAUUUUGCGCNUGGGGGGAAAACCCUGACGCAGCAACGCCGCGUGGAGGAUGAAAUCCCUUGGGAUGUAAACUCCUUUCGAUUGGGAAGAUUAUGACGGUACCAAUAGAAGAAGCCCCGGCUAACUUCGUGCCAGCAGCCGCGGUAAUACGAGGGGGGCAAGCGUUGUUCGGAAUUAUUGGGCGUAAAGGGCGCGUAGGCGGUUUGACAAGUCUUAUGUGAAAUCUCUGGGCUCAACCCAGAGUCUGCAUGGGAAACUGUCGGGCUUGAGUAUGGGAGAGGUGAGUGGAAUUUCCGGUGUAGCGGUGAAAUGCGUAGAUAUCGGAAGGAACACCUGUGGCGAAAGCGGCUCACUGGACCAUAACUGACGCUGAGGCGCGAAAGCUAGGGGAGCAAACAGGAUUAGAUACCCUAGUAGUCC
rnacentral:rRNA from 1 species